rnacentral:rRNA from 1 species
AUUGAACGCUGGCGGCAUGCCUUACACAUGCAAGUCGAACGGCAGCACGGGAGCAAUCCUGGUGGCGAGUGGCGAACGGGUGAGUAAAGUAUCGGAACGUGCCCAGUCGUGGGGGAUAACGUAGCGAAAGCUACGCUAAUACCGCAUACGAUCUAUGGAUGAAAGCGGGGGAUCGCAAGACCUCGCGCGAUUGGAGCGGCCGAUAUCAGAUUAGGUAGUUGGUGGGGUAAAGGCCCACCAAGCCGACGAUCUGUAGCUGGUCUGAGAGGACGACCAGCCACACUGGGACUGAGACACGGCCCAGACUCCUACGGGAGGCAGCAGUGGGGAAUUUUGGACAAUGGGCGCAAGCCUGAUCCAGCAAUGCCGCGUGCAGGAUGAAGGCCUUCGGGUUGUAAACUGCUUUUGUACGGAGCGAAAAGGCUCUCUCUAAUACAGGGGGCUCAUGACGGUACCGUAAGAAUAAGCACCGGC